ACUCGCCGGGGCAGCCGCUUCCGUAACUGAGCCUUGGAACCCGGUGUCCUCGGCCCCCGAACGGGGCCAUAGAGCGCGUUCUAGGGGGGCCAGAGCGGCCCAGCCGCAGACCAUGGAGUCGGCGGCAGAAAGGCCAGAGCAGCCAUUGAGAGGCCCUGCACAGCGGACAAGGCCGGCACACGGACCCUAGCGAGGAGCCAGGGAAGCUGGUGUCUCGGGAGUUGUAGGCAGUGCCGGGACGAGGGGCGCCGCCGCUGCACCCCCGGCUUGAAGUAGUAACGCCAGGCACUAAAUACAGUCUAUGAUUUCCAUCAUCAGGACACCCACUAUAGAAAUUGUUCCAGCACCCCUGGCUGUAGGAAACUAAACGAGUGAUUGUAAAACUCUGUUAAACUCUUCCUAGACUAGCCAGAGUGCCCAGUUCUUGAAUGACCUUAGAAUGCUGUAGCAUUAGCAAGUCUAUCCAGAUCAAAGAAUGCAUCCUAGAGCAGCCAUAAUUACGCAGUUCAUAGCCAGGACUCUAACAGGGCCAUCAGUUGGUGGGGAAGAGGGAGAGGAUGCUCAACAAUUUGCAGCCAUAGACAUUAUAUUCAAUAUUAAUAUAUUGGGAUUAUAUUUUCCUCGUGGUCAUCUUAAAAUCUAUUGUUUUGCAUCCUCUGAAAUAGAAAGUGUCACAACAGAAGAUGGGGUGUUGGCUAGCAGUUUAUAACACUCAAAAAUCCACGAUUUGUUGUGAAUUUUGCUAAAUGAAAAAAAAAGGAUUAAAAAGUAAAGUUAUGAAUGAACAUAAAUAGCUUGUUGUACAUGUUGGAACACAAUUUUCCUUACAGCUUUCAGUUCAUGUGGAGCAUGGAUAACCAAACCACUACACGGUCAGGACUCCAUGGAGUUUUUUAAAGAUCUUCUAUGCAGAUCUUCAUUCCCUCCGAAGCACCCAGCAUUGGCCAUGAAUUUGCUGCUUAUGUUCUAAUCUACGGAGCAGGAUCACACCAACUGAGCAUGCUCAGUAACAUCUGCUGCCCUCUCUUGGGAUCAGAUUCUGCUGCCUGCUCUUAACAGUUCAUAACAUGAUUUAAUAAUGUGGAGAAGAGAUAAUUAAGACUGUACCUGCAAAAGUAAUUCCUUGUAUGUAUCUUCCUGAAUUCUGAGCCAAGUGGAACAAAGCAUUACAAUCCUACAAGCUGUUAGAAACAACUGACCAGUCGACAAGGGUUCACAUUACAAUGAAUACUUUUAAUUGUACCACUGGUGACAGCCUCAGUGAUGCCAAGGAUUGAAUGGACAGAGAAGAAUGUCAAACGAGAUCCUUCUGCUUCAGGGGAGAGGCACAUUAGAGGGGGAAUCGGGGGAAGCUUGCACAGACACACUUUGUACAUUGGAUAAAAUAAAAAACAAUUAGGCCACUCCUCUGAGCUUUUGUUUGAAAUGUAACUGGAGGCUGGGCUGAUAUUUCAGAUAUGCCGAAGUCAGAUACUGUGGACAACCUAGUGAUUGAUUUGGUAUUGUAUUGUACUAGCACAGCAGCAUCUGUUUGGAGCACUUCUGAUUUCAGAUCUAGUGCCAAUCUCGCUAAAAGUUAGGAACACAAAACAUGUGAUAAGCAGUCUCUGAAGAGGAGGAUCAGCUCUUAACUGUUAAAGGUGAAUUGCAAAAGAAACAAAAAAUGUUUGGUUAGCCUUUAAGUAUAAAGGAGGCCUCAAUUAAACAAAAUUUAAAUUCCUCUACUAAAACAGGAAAACUAGCAUUCAAUAUUUCUAAUACUGAAAAAAAGCAGAAAAUAGCUUUUUGAAAAAACUAACAUUGAGGCUGGCUUGUAAUAAAGAGCACAAUUUGUUUCCUUUGAGGUCCAUCUUCCAUAGCAGCCGGUACCUUCAUGCAUCUGGGAAGCACUGAAAAACAGACAGUGUGACAGACCUUGGGUGUA